UGAGGAAUAUUGCACAAUGGGCGCAAGCCUGAUGCAGCGACGCCGCGUGGGUGAAGAAGGAUUUCGGUCUGUAAAGCCCUUUUCUGUGUGACGAGAAUGGACGGUAGCACAGGAAUAAGUCUCGGCUAACUACGUGCCAGCAGCCGCGGUAAAACGUAGGAGGCAAGCGUUAUCCGGAGUAACUGGGCGUAAAGGGCGAGUAGGUGGUUGCGUAAGUUGGUUAUGAAAGCUCCUGGCUAAACUGGGAGAGGUUGACCAAGACUGCGUGACUUGAGUGGAGAAGAGGUAAACGGAAUUCCGCGUGUAGUGGUGAAAUGCGUAGAGAUGCGGAAGAACACCAGUGGCGAAGGCGGUUUACUGGUCUCCAACUGACACUGAACCGCGAAAGCAUGGGUAGCGAACGGG
rnacentral:rRNA from 1 species